GACGUUGCCAGAAUAUCUCCCUGUUAAGUCCGUGUUUCUUUUUUUCUCUUUUUUUCUGUGUUUGCGUGUGUGUGUGCCCACGUCAAUGAACUGACCAUUAGGAUAACCACAAAGCAUAGUUCCCCCGGUGCUAUGAAGGCGUGGACUCCCAUUUGAAACGUGAAAAGUGAAAAAUAACGUGGCCUUUGACUCGCGACUGGAAGAGUGACUGUUGCUGUGCCCCGCCCACCUGCUGCUGCUGCUGCUGCUGCUGUGCCAGUGUGCGGUGCCUGUGGAGUGUGGUGCAUGGUGGAGGCGCAGAGCGAGGGAGGGGCGCGGCGCUGCUGAAGGAGAUGCCAUGUGCAGCCAGCCACCCCACCUUCUCUCUCUCUCUCUCUCUCUCUCUCUCUCUCUCUCUCUCUCUCUCUCUCUCUCUCUCUCUCUCCUAUACGCAUAUUCCUCUCCCAGACCUUCAUCUCCUCCCCUCCUCCCCUCCUCCAUUGCUCCAUCCACACUCGCCCUGCCACGAGCCUCCACCGACCACCAGGAGGGAACAUGAGUCGUCCAGGUCGUCUUAACAAGGCGCUGAGUUGACGUGAGUGGGCAGAGGAAGAAGAAGUAGAAGAAGAGGAAGAGGAAGAAGAGGAAGAGGAGGAGAGGGAAGGAAGAUCUGAGCUGCGGAUAAGAGCGGCAGUGGAUCUGUACAUGCGUGAGGUGGCGAGGGGCGUGGCCAGGGGGCGGCUAGCAGCGUGUGCCACCAGGGAAAAGUGUAUGAACAUAAAAAAAGGCGCCUGUCAAGAAAGGCACAGAUGCAGGGUGGUGAGGCAGUGUUCAUCCCAGGGGCACACCACACAGGGUCAGCAACACAGGUGGUGAUGGAGAGGCACCUGUGGGACGCCCAGGGGAACACCAAACACGACCUUGACAGACAGAAGAGUUUAUUGGUGAAGUGUGAAAGAGGAGGAAGGAACAAUGAUAUUUGACCAGCUGUGGCAUCUGGGGGGUUCACUUGACUGGGACAGCUGGGACAUGGAUGCAGCGAGAGACUGGCCUGUGUGUCUGUCUGUACAUCCUGACGGAAGCAUUUGUCUGUCUGUACGAUGCUGGGCUGGUGUACCGCAAGGAGGCUCUCGUCAACUGGUGCUGCAGCCUUCAGUCGGCCAUCUUGGACAUUGAAGUGGACCGCCUGCACCUGACAGGACCCACGGAGCUGGCAGUCCCGGGGUACAGCAAACCGGUCAGCUUCGGAAAGAUGUGGGACUUCCCUUACAGACUGGCAGACUCAGGUUCGUUCGGUGCAAGGAGUCGGCACAGGAGGCGUCCGAGGCUGUGCAGAGCGGCUGUCUGAACCUGGUGCCACAGCUGCACAGGAGGGCUUGGCAUAGCUGGCUGGACAACAUCACAGACUGGUGUGUCUCCCGGCAGCUCUGGUGGGGCCGCAGAAUGCCAGUGUACCACAUCACUGCAGCAGAUGGCGAGGAGGUAUGGGUGGCGGCUGCUCGGAGGAGGAUGCAAGGCGGAAGGCUGUGGAGAAGGAAGGCACACCCUUGACCUCCAUGUCCACCCAGCAGGAGGAAGAUCUGGACACCUGCUUCUCCUCUGCUCCCUCCCUUUGCCUCGCUGGGGUGGCCGGGUCAGGGGAGGGGAGAGACCAUGCCUGACCUUGCUCGCUUCUAGGCAACGACCUUGAAGACGGGUCACGGCAUCCUCUUCUGGGUGGCUCAGGUGGUCAUGCCGGGACUCAACUUGACGGGGAGGCUUUCCUUUGAGACUGUGCUGCUGCAUGGCCUCCUGGGUGAUGGUGGCGGCCACAAGACGUCCAAGUCCUGGGGCAGUGUGAUAGACCCCCUGGAUGUCGUCAGUGGGGCGUCCCUGGAGGUGUGUGACUUGCUGGUGCUGUGUGUCCUGUACUGGUGUUCAUUGGGUGUGGUGACCAGUACCUUGACAGCAGGUACUGUGCGAGAGGGUGGAGGGGACCCUGAACGCGGAAGAGGUACUCGCUGGUCUCGUAUGAAGUCCCCCACAGGCAUCCCAGAGUGUGGAGCUGAUGCCCUUUGGUCCACCCUGUGCUCCACCAACUUCAGGAGUCAGUGUGGCAUAGAUAGAUGUGGAUGACUGUGGUGUCUUGUCUUGUGUGGAGUUACAAGAACCGUCACCCCAAACAAUGAGUGGUGGAGGGUGCGUUUCGCGUUGACAGCCAGCAUGAGCGGUGACAGGAGCCAUGGGUGCCUUGCCUCCUCGCACCACCACCACAAGCACCGCCACUACUGCCAUCACCUACAAGGGGGAGACUGUGAUGUGGCUGCAGGUGGAUAGGUUCGGAGGCCUCCAGAGAGCUGCCCAGAGUGAAGCUUGUGGUAUAGAGGGACAGCUGCUGAUUAUCAAGCUUAUGGAGUGACUGGAAGAAAGUGGGAGGAGCCUGGAGGGAGUGGUGGAGGUACAGUACUUGGAGAAAAUCCCUCCACCAUGAUGACUGGGUGUCUGCUGUACAGACCACUGACCAAUGGUGAGAGAGGGAGAGAGACUGGCUAAUGGUGGAUGAGAGAGAGAGAGAGAGAGAGAGAGAGAGAGAGAGAGAGAGAGAGAGAGAGUCUUGAUAAAUAAUAUUGGGCACAGGCUUCACCACUGGGUCGACUGUGAGGGCUGCGUUCUUCUGCUAGGGAAGUAUUGGCUGGUUGGUGGCCGCGGCUGUUCACACACUCACUCUUGCUGUGGCUGGCAUGCUGUUCUGUCCUCUCUUGUUGCAGGAAUUGCUGUCUGAGGUGUGUGUGUGUAUGUGUGUGUGUGUGUAGAAGCCACCAUCAUCAACCACAGCAGGUGAUAAUGAUGGUUCCUGCUUUCAUCGUCAUCGGGGCUAGCCAGACCAACUUGGGGCUGUACUCUGGGGUGACGCUGUAUGCCUCAGGUGUAUCUGGAGGGCUGAGAUAGUGAGAAGGUAACAAUUAAAAAGGACUAGUGUACACUUAAACCAUUACAAACACUAUAUAAUGCUGGUAUACACACACAAACACUGGUAUACACAUAGAGACAUAUACAAACACUUGCUAUGGUUUGUAUACUCUUAGAAACACACAUAAACUCUUAAUAAGUCUGGUAUACACACAAACUUGUAUACAAACACUAGUAUAUAUUUAGAGACACAUCCAAAUCUUUGCUAAGUCUGAUAUAAACACACAAACUCAUAAGAGAUGCUGGUAUAUGCUCGGAAAUCUAUA